GGGGACGUAGCUCAACUGGGAGAGCGCAGCGUUCGCAACGCUGAGGUCGUCGGUUCGAUCCCGAUCGUCUCCACCA
rnacentral:tRNA from 2 species